CAGUAGCCGCGGUAAUACGGAGGGAGCUAGCGUUGUUCGGAAUUACUGGGCGUAAAGCGCACGUAGGCGGCUUUGUAAGUUAGAGGUGAAAGCCUGGAGCUCAACUCCAGAAUUGCCUUUAAGACUGCAUCGCUUGAAUCCGGGAGAGGUGAGUGGAAUUCCGAGUGUAGAGGUGAAAUUCGUAGAUAUUCGGAAGAACACCAGUGGCGAAGGCGGCUCACUGGACCGGCAUUGACGCUGAGGUGCGAAAGCGUGGGGAGCAAACAGGAUUAGAUACCCGGGUAGUCCCUGUCUCUUAUAC
rnacentral:rRNA from 1 species